rnacentral:lncRNA from 1 species
AUGGAAGCAGUGAAACUAUUACUCACAGUCCAAAGUAGUCGAAUAACAACAUGGAUGGAAGCAGUGAAACUAUUACUCACAGUCCAAAGUAGUCAAAUAACAACAUGGAUGGAAGCAGUGAAACUAUUUAAGGCAUUAAAAUGUAAAGAGGUUCAACUCCUUGGGUCUGUGGUCUGAAAUUGGACUCAUAUUGCUCAUCAAACCCGAGGGGGAAGUCUAUAAACCUUAUUUUCCUAUUCUGUGGCAUAGAGUAGCUACUAAACAGAGUAUUGUAAUGAGUAAUGACUGCCCUGAGGAUCAAUAAUGAUCACAUAGUACAUCCUUAGAGAGACAAAUCACUUCUUCUCAUUAUAAAUAUAGAAUGGUAUAGUUGUGUGCAUCAACAACUCAUAUGGUACAAUGUCAAAAUAAGACACAACCCGGGAGCUAUAGUCAGGGAGGGCUUGACAGUGACACUUCUCAGUCAAUCUAAAUCUCAGUCCAUUGGAAAGGUAUUUCAAAUGCUCAAUCUUGAAGCAAAAGGACAUCUUGACGUGACGUGAUACUUGAUCGGUCCAUACCAUUGAUAAAGUGAUGUAAAUAAUGGCAGAAAAUAACAUGGUUGGUUAUCCACUCUGUCGACAGCUAGAGAAAAGCUAUAUGUAAUGGUUGAGGGAAAGCAGGUAGACAUUUUAAUUAGACACAUUCUAGAAUGUUCUGGUAAAGAGGUCAAUGGAAUGCAGACAGGGGGGAGGGGAGGGGGCGGGGGACAACGCUGGAUUGGUGCACAUUCAAACAAAUCUGAUCUAACAAAGUGAAUAUUUGUCAAAUCCGUCAUAAUUGAUGUAUUGCAAUAGGCUCAAAAUGUGGUAAUUUAAAUCCGAUUUGGAUAUAUUUGUCUGUUUUCACUGCAUAACAUUUAGAAGUUGCCCCUUUUCAGAUUUAGAAGAUGUGACUGCUAAAUAGUAACUCCCAUUCGUAUCAGCUGGUAGCAUAGCUAGCAUACAGAAAUUGGUAGUGGUAGUCAAAGUAGUUUUCAACUUUAACGCAGCUGAUUGGUGACGAUGAAAUUAACAUGUAUUGGGGUUGACAUCAAUACAAGCAUUAUACUUCGAUUUCUACCUCAACAGAGUGUGAAACAAUAGCCUAAACGUAGGCUAAUGUUGCUGGGGGGCAAUGAAAGGAUCUUUCCCCCAUGGCAUCUUUCCCCCACACGUUUCCAUGGCAUUUCCAUUAUUUUGGUUGAGUUCCAUUGACCUCUUUACCACAUAUAUAUGCAAUGAGAGACUACGGUCCUACGGUUCUUAGAAUCUUCUAGAUGAGAUUCCUUGUUGUCAAUGGAGGUGAACAAGAUAUUGAGUAGCUGAUUAACAGCUUUCAGUUAUCCAGACAUCUGGGUUGAGGAGAACAGUCCCUCUUGCCUUCAAAGAAUUUUAGCCUUGUAGUGUUAGCCUUUUAGCCUGUUAGCCUGGGGCGGUGGGAAGCCAACUGGACUGUGUCCUGUACUAGCCUGUUAGCCUGGGCGUGGGAAGUCAACUGGUCUAGUGUCCUGUCCUAGCCUGUUAGCCUGUUAGCCUUGGAUGGUGGGAAGCAAACGGGACUGUGUCCUAGUCCUAUCUGUUAGCCUGGGCGGGGGAAGCACUUGGGCUGUGUUCCUGUCCUGUGAGCCUUUAAGCCGUUAGGCCUGGUACGUUGGGAAGCCAAACGGACUGUGUCCUGUCCUACCUGUUAGCCUGGGACGGUG